AAAGUCGUAACAAGGUAUCCGUAGGUGAACCUGCGGAUGGAUCAUUACCAAUUUUUAAAUACGAGUUUGUAUGGUCAUCCUGUAUUGGGUGGGUUAUACACAACUUCUAUUGUAAACGUUGAACUAGAUCAUUGGUGUGGAUUGUGUUUAUCCUUCUUGGAUAGGCAUAUCCCACACUGAUAACCUAUAUUUAAUUAUAUACUAUACUAGUACAUACUACCAAACAAACAAAUAUAAAUCUUAAUAGGACUUAUAAACAGUUGAGUGGGUAAAAGCCUCAGCUAAAAAUAUAACAAAAUACAACUUUCAGCAAUGGAUCUCUAGGCUCUC
rnacentral:misc_RNA from 1 species